UCUUUAUUAGAACCGUACUAAGGCUUUAGCUUUAGAACUCAGCGAAAAAAGCAGAUCGAAAGAGCGACCAAGUCAACUCGAAAUCUCCGUCGUUAAAUAAGUAAGAUAACAUAGAUUUCUCGAUCGCUGGUUGAGUUCCUUGUUCAAAGACUAACUCUAAGCCUCGCAGUUCCGAUUUGACUCCAUUGUUGUUUUUGGCUCAAUGGAGGGAGAGAAGAAAUACAUUACAAGCGAAGAGCUUAAACAGCACAACAAGCCUGGAGAUUUGUGGAUCUCAAUCCAGUGCAAGGUAUAUGAUGUAUCGGACUGGAUUAAGGAGCACCCGGGUGGGGAUACUCCUCUCCUGAAUCUGGCUGGCCAAGAUGUAACUGAUGCAUUUAUUGCUUACCAUCCUGGUACUGCGUGGAAAUAUCUUGAUCAGCUUUUUACAGGAUAUUAUCUUGUAGAUUUCGAGGUCUCAGAGGUUUCCAAGGAUUAUAGGAAGCUUUACUCGGAGUUUUCCAAACUAGGUUUGUUUGACAAGAAAGGGCAUGUUACUAUGUAUGCUUUGGCGUGUGUUGCAUUCUUGUUCUGUAUUGUUGUUUAUGGUGUUUUGUGUUGCCUGAGUUUAUGGGCUCAUAUGGGUUCUGCUGCCUUAUUGGGAUUCCUUUGGAUUCAAAGUGCAUAUGUUGGUCAUGAUUCUGGACAUUACCAGGUAAUGUUGAGUCCUCGUUUUAACAAACUUGCUCAGCUUAUAUCUGGGAAUUGUUUAACUGGGAUAAGCAUUGCUUGGUGGAAAUGGACCCACAACGCACACCACCUUGCCUGCAAUAGUCUUGAUUAUGAUCCAGAUCUUCAACACAUACCUGUAUUUGCUGUAUCUUCACGUCUUUUCAAUUCUAUAACAUCGUACUUUUAUGGAAGAAAGAUGAAUUUUGAUCCAUUGUCUAGGUUUCUUGUGAGUUACCAACACUGGACAUUUUAUCCUGUGAUGUGUGUUGCAAGGGUCAAUUUGUUUCUGCAGACAUUGCUGUUAUUGUUCUCAACACGUAAAGUUCCAGAUAGAGCUCUUAACAUCAUGGGAAUUCUUGUCUUUUGGAUUUGGUUUCCCCUUCUUGUUUCUUGUUUACCUGAUUGGCCAGAGAGAGUGAUGUUCGUGCUCACUUCCUUUGCUGUCACCUCACUACAACACAUUCAAUUUUGUUUGAAUCAUUUCGCAGCAAACGUUUAUCUAGGACCUCCAAAUGGGAAUGACUGGUUUGAGAAACAGACUAGUGGGACUUUGGAUAUUUCAUGCUCCUCUUGGAUGGAUUGGGUGUAUGGUGGUUUGCAGUUUCAGCUCGAGCAUCAUUUGUUUCCCAGGUUGCCAAGAAGCCAAUUGAGGGGGGUUUCACCAUUGGUAAAGGAUUUGUGUAAGAAGCAUAGUUUGCCUUACAGGAGUUUGUCCUUCUGGGAGGCCAAUGUAUGGACAAUUAGGACUCUGAGGACUGCUGCCCUGCAGGCUAGAGACAUGACCAACCCUGUUCCAAAGAAUUUGGUGUGGGAAGCUGUUCACACACAUGGAUGAAGUUUGGGUUCCUUUUGUUUUUGAAGCAGGAUACCACCAUACUUGGAAGAACCCUUGAUUGCUGGAAGGACUUAGGAAGUUAGAUCAGCUACAGAGAUGAAGCCACUACCAGCUGCACCAGGAGCAGCAAGCAAUCCGAGGAAAUUUUUUUAGCAGGGGAGCUUGAGGUCCAUUGCUUCCAUGCAUCUAAAAGAUUGCCAAUACUCCCAGAAGAGUACUGGACAGGCAAGGAGGAUAAUUGUAGAUCUGACAUCAAGAAGCCUCUCUCAAGAGCAUUCCCUACCCAGGCAUCAGGAAAAGGGCAUUGGACAACUGCAAUUAGUACAUUACCUCUCUUACUAUAUGCAGCAAGAAACCUUGCAAGAUAUGUUCUAAUGUUGGCUUGCUCCUCCUUCAAUGUAAAGUCAAUUUCAUCUAGAGUGGCAGGGCCAAAUGGAUGGAAUGAAGAGUGUACUCCCAAGAGGCUAUUCUAAAGAUAAGUUACAACUUGCCUUUCAUCCUCAGUAUAGACAAGAUAGUAGCUCCUAGUUCCUAGCUCCUAGCAUCUCUUCCAAUAGAAACAUUACCGUAAUGCCUUUGGCUUCACAUGUUUUUAUGUCAGAGCUUAAGCCUGUGCACCUGUUGGCACUGGAAUAACCAUCAAGGUUAAUCACAGGAGUCAGACCAUUUCCAAAAGCUGGUAGGAAUUCCGUGUUUAUGGAGUUCUGGUUUUCUAAGGAACAAGUCUCUGCGAAGGUUCCCUUCAUUUCUGUUAUGCCUUAAUAGAUUGCCAUCCGCCAGCUUCAGAACCCACCGGUAUUCCUUAAAUGGAGGCUAAAUCUAUGUGAACCAGAGGCUUUUGUCACUUUGAGAUUUUCCUUGACUAAAGUAAUCACAUGGAAACAGCACUACCAUGGAAUCAACUAUUUGUACAUCAUGGUUCAACUAACUGCAUACACCUACCGGCAUUUGGAUAGCAGAUUUUGAGCCAGUACAGGUACCAGAUGUCUGGCAAAAUUACAUACUUGUAGACUUCUUUAAUUCCAAAGGAAUAUAUCCACAAAUAGCUGAUAUUUCCUUAGUUUAGAUGAGUUUAAUUGUAAAUUUCAAGCAGUUUAUAGCUCUUGAUUACGAAAGAAAAAGUUUGUGAAGGUCUGUGUAGCGAGGUAAUUCACUCCCUAACAGGGCAUCUGAAGUCGAUAGCAAGCAUAGAAGUGCUGCUGUUACACCCCCUUUCUCUUCUCACAAAAAGAAAUAUAUAAUAGAUAGAAAAAGAAAGGCUUUUUUUGAAGGAUCAUAUUUAUAUAGAAAUAUUCUCUCUAAGGUUGGUGAACCAUCCAAUAUUUCUUAUUUCUCAAUACUUACAGCAAUCAAUUUCCAUAGAGAAAAUUAUUUUUCUUUUUCCUUGGGGAAAAAAAAUCAGGAAAAAGAAAAUAAUUUGCCUUUUGGGAGUUUGGAAUUUUCAGGCCCAAGUACAUACAAACGCUAGAAUGUGGCAUGCAUAGGGAGGUUGAUUUUUAGUGUUACUGUUUGUUGAGAGAACAAGGGCAGGGCCCUUUCUUCUGAUCAGCUUUCAUUUCUGAUCUUCUAGUUUGUGUCGGUAACAUGUUAGUAUCCCUUUCUAAUUUCAACCAGCAAAGGACUCUUGUCUCCUGGUUUUGCUUUUGCCCUUUUCUUUCCUUAAAGAUAACUUAAACUAUUAAAUUGAGUGGAAAGAAUGACUCUUUAUCUCUGUCCAUUUUCUUUUCCUUUUCCUCUCUUGCAAGUUGCAGCCACUCAUCACAUGCAUGAAAAAAAUCAUAAACGUUGCUGAUUCUGAUUCUUAUACUGAUUCUAGUAGGUUUACACAACACAUUUGUCAAUUUUUCUUUUUUUUUUGUCUCCUAUAUGAAGUCGUUGAAUGCAUACUAUAUGCAAAAUUUCAUCAUGCUACGCCAUAUCUUGACAUCUGUAGCUAUUUUAAAGCGUUUGUCACCUUUAUUAUUAAGAGAACCCAUACUCAUGAGAAUUAAAUUUUAGAGCUUAUAAACAGGUUUGAUCAGCUUAUGAGCUAAGUCAAACACCUGGGGUCAAACAUAGAUGUCAAUUUUUCGUGAUUCAACUUUGUUUAAAACCAAUUCUACUUCCUGCUUCUUUAUAUGUCAUUUUAGGUCUCCCCUUUCUCUUUUUAUUCUUUCUACCACUAAUUUAUUAUGCUUUCAUAGACAUGGCUAAACUAUUUUAUUCGACCCUCUCUUAUUUUAUCCUCAUGUGUACUGUAUGUAUUUUGUGGUGGUCUUAUCGAUUAUCGUAAUACCAUAUAUUUAUCUUAAUAUCCAUAUUUCUGGCACACUAGCUUCUAGCACAUUUGGAAAAUCAUAUCUCAUUGUUACUUUUCUUCUUCUUUUCUUGGUUUCUUUUUUGAGGGAAGAUUUCUUAAACUAUCCCU